AACGACGCUGGCGGCAUGCCCAAUCAUACAAGUCGAACGAGAUCUUCCGAUCUAAUGGCGCACGGGUGCGUAACGCGUGGGAAUCUGCCCUUGGGUUCGGAAUAACUUCUGGAAACGGAAGCUAAUACCGGAUGAUGACGUAAGUCCAAAGAUUUAUCGCCCAAGGAUGAGCCCGCGUAGGAUUAGGUAGUUGGUGAGGUAAAGGCUCACCAAGCCGACGAUCCUUAGCUGGUCUGAGAGGAUGAUCAGCCACACUGGGACUGAGACACGGCCCAGACUCCUACGGGAGGCAGCAGUAGGGAAUAUUGGACAAUGGGCGAAAGCCUGAUCCAGCAAUGCCGCGUGAGUGAUGAAGGCCUUAGGGUUGUAAAGCUCUUUUACCCGGGAUGAUAAUGACAGUACCGGGAGAAUAAGCUCCGGCUAACUCCGUGCCAGCAGACGCGGUAAUACGGAGGGAGCUAGAGUAGUACGGAAAUUACUGGGCGUAAAGCGCACGUAAGCGGCUAUUACAGUCAGAGGUGAAAGCCCGGGGCUCAAACCCCGGAACUGCCUUUGAAACUAGAUAGCUUGAAUCCCAGAAAGGUGAGUGGAUUCCGAAUUUCCAAGUAAAUACGGAGAAAUCCGAAGACACAAUGGGAAGG
rnacentral:rRNA from 1 species